rnacentral:tRNA from 1 species
ACCUGGCUGGCUCAGUCAGAAGAGCAUGAGACUCUUAAUCUCGGGGUUGUGAAUUUGAGCUCCAUGUUGGGUA